CACUUACUCUCAAAUCUAGCUAUCAAUCCCUCACAUACUUCAGCCCAAGUGGUUUCCUUGGCAUAGUUAGGAUUGGUUUUGAUUUCUCCAUCAAACCAAUCUAAGGCACUUCCCUCCAAUAAUGCAGACAAAGUCCUUAUUUUAUCCACAUCACUUUCAAUAUCAUUGGCCAAAUGCCAAUGUUCGAUUUCCUUGAGAAAUCUCUUUAUAGUUCUUUUGUAUUCUAUGCCCUUUCACUUUUUUGAUUGAUCAGUCUUGGCUCUGUGAGAACUUAGCUUGCUUUUUUGACCUUCAAGUAAGGCCUCCCU
rnacentral:lncRNA from 1 species